GCUGAAAAACAGCAGAAGAGAAGCCUCCAUCACACUUCCCUUCUCCACUCUCUUUACUCCCUCCUCUUUCCGCACUUGAAGCCUCAUCAUUGGCAGACACGAACUGGCCAGAUUUUGCCCUCUGCCUUGGCCAUGGAGACUUCCUGCUGCCAUGGAACCUAUCCAAAGAAAACCUGGCCACAGGUGCAGACAGAGCUGACGAAUCACUUACUUUCCCACAUUCCGAGGACAGCUGAAGGGCAGUCUUACUUUUCCAUGGAUUGAUACACGUGCAAGGAAAACUUGACAGCACCCCGAUGUCUUAGUUUAAAGGAGGCAGAAUACGCAUGCUAUGUAGCCACCUAUGUUCAGGAUGAACUCACUAUAAAUGCUAUGCAAUUCUGAGAAGAUACUAUGAUUUCCCAUGAGUAAGUCAAUCAAGAUGUAGACACAAAUUAUCUAAUAAAUUGUUAUUAAGCAACUGGUAACAAA